rnacentral:rRNA from 1 species
GAGAGUUUGAUCCUGGCUCAGGAUGAACGCUAGCUACAGGCUUAACACAUGCAAGUCGAGGGGCAGCAUGGUCUUAGCUUGCUAAGGCCGAUGGCGACCGGCGCACGGGUGAGUAACACGUAUCCAACCUGCCGUCUACUCUUGGACAGCCUUCUGAAAGGAAGAUUAAUACAAGAUGGCAUCAUGAGUCCGCAUGUUCACAUGAUUAAAGGUAUUCCGGUAGACGAUGGGGAUGCGUUCCAUUAGAUAGUAGGCGGGGUAACGGCCCACCUAGUCUUCGAUGGAUAGGGGUUCUGAGAGGAAGGUCCCCCACAUUGGAACUGAGACACGGUCCAAACUCCUACGGGAGGCAGCAGUGAGGAAUAUUGGUCAAUGGGCGAGAGCCUGAACCAGCCAAGUAGCGUGAAGGAUGACUGCCCUAUGGGUUGUAAACUUCUUUUAUAAAGGAAUAAAGUCGGGUAUGGAUACCCGUUUGCAUGUACUUUAUGAAUAAGGAUCGGCUAACUCCGUGCCAGCAGCCGCGGUAAUACGGAGGAUCCGAGCGUUAUCCGGAUUUAUUGGGUUUAAAGGGAGCGUAGAUGGAUGUUUAAGUCAGUUGUGAAAGUUUGCGGCUCAACCGUAAAAUUGCAGUUGAUACUGGAUAUCUUGAGUGCAAUUGAGGCAGGCGGAAUUCGUGGUGUAGCGGUGAAAUGCUUAGAUAUCACGAAGAACUCCGAUUGCGAAGGCAGCCUGCUAAGCUGCAACUGACAUUGAGGCUCGAAAGUGUGGGUAUCAAACAGGAUUAGAUACCCUGGUAGUCCACACGGUAAACGAUGAAUACUCGCUGUUUGCGAUAUACUGCAAGCGGCCAAGCGAAAGCGUUAAGUAUUCCACCUGGGGAGUACGCCGGCAACGGUGAAACUCAAAGGAAUUGACGGGGGCCCGCACAAGCGGAGGAACAUGUGGUUUAAUUCGAUGAUACGCGAGGAACCUUACCCGGGCUUAAAUUGCAGAUGAAUUACGGUGAAAGCCGUAAGCCGCAAGGCAUCUGUGAAGGUGCUGCAUGGUUGUCGUCAGCUCGUGCCGUGAGGUGUCGGCUUAAGUGCCAUAACGAGCGCAACCCUUGUUGUCAGUUACUAACAGGUUCUGCUGAGGACUCUGACAAGACUGCCAUCGUAAGAUGUGAGGAAGGUGGGGAUGACGUCAAAUCAGCACGGCCCUUACGUCCGGGGCUACACACGUGUUACAAUGGGGGGUACAGAGGGCCGCUACCACGCGAGUGGAUGCCAAUCCCAAAAACCUCUCUCAGUUCGGACUGGAGUCUGCAACCCGACUCCACGAAGCUGGAUUCGCUAGUAAUCGCGCAUCAGCCACGGCGCGGUGAAUACGUUCCCGGGCCUUGUACACACCGCCCGUCAAGCCAUGGGAGCCGGGGGUACCUGAAGUGCGUAACCGCGAGGAGCGCCCUAGGGUAAAACUGGUGACUGGGGCUAAGUCGUAACAAGGUAGCCG